UACGUUGACUGGCAGGUGUGUUCUGAGACAGAAGGAGUGGGAGGUUCGCCCCUGCAAGGCCCCAAGAAAGGAGAGUGCAAGUACAUGCAGGGAAGAGGCAGGAGGAAAGCCAGGUGGAGCUGCAGAGACUGAGGAGGACCACAGAGCAGAGCAGGGAGAGUUAAGUAGGACAGGACAGGUUGAGAUGCAGGUAUUACAGGUGUAAGUGCAGGUUUGAUUUGUCACUUCCUGUGGGUAGAAACACCAACAACACUAAAAUGUAAUUCAGGUAAAUAAGAGAAAUCAUUUGUGUCUUUGCUGGUUAGGGAUGUGAUGCUCUCCUUUGCUGGAGCUCCACUUUGUGCUUCAGGCUGAUAAGAGAGGUGUAUUCACAGGUAACAUCUUGCCAAGAGUGGCUUUAAGCGUCUAUCAAUACCUGAUUGACACAGUCUGGAUCCACUUGUUUCCUCCUGAGCUGGCAUCAGAGUCUGUCACGUUGCUCUCUAUGACGUGAUCUGUCUUAUUGAGACCCUGAGGGCUUCUCCUGUUGUCCUCCUGCCCGAAAACACAACCUCCCAGGUGGGCCGGCGGACACGCCCAGCUCCCUCACCGGGGUGUCACUGCAGCUCUGGGCAACAAAGCCCUCUGACUCCUUCAUCCCCCAGAGAAUUUCUCUCUCUCUCUGUCUGUCUCUCCUGCUCUCUUAUGAAACAAAUUAUUUUCUGUUGCUGAUGACUGAGGAACACAAGCCUGCUGUGUGAAUGCGUUCUUGUGUGAUUCACAGACAAUCAAUGCCUUCAGCUGUUGUUGUCGGUGCAUGUUGUGUCUUAGCAACGUUCGUCUUCAGACAUUUUUGCAUUGUUGUUAUUUUUCUAUUGUUUAUGGUCAAUUUUGCAAA